CCUACGAGAGGCAGCAGUGAGGAAUAUUGGUCAAUGGACGAGAGUCUGAACCAGCCAAGUAGCGUGCAGGAUGACUGCCCUAUGGGUUGUAAACUUCUUUUAUAUGGGAAUAAAAUGUUCCACGUGUGGGAUUUUGUAUGUACCAUAUGAAUAAGGAUCGGUUAACUCCGUGCCAGCAGCCGCGGUAAUACGGAGGAUCCGAGCGUUAUCCGGAUUUAUUGGGGUUAAAGGGAGCGUAGGUGGAUUGUUAAGUCAGUUGUGAAAGUUUGCGGCUCAACCGUAAAAUUGCAGUUGAAAAUGGCAGUCGUGAGUACAGUAGAGGUGGGUGGAAUUCGUGGUGUAGCGGUGAAAUGCUUAGAUAUCACGAAGAACUCCGAUUGCGAAGGCAGCUCACUGGACUGCAACUGACACUGAGGCUCGAAAGUGUGGGUAUCAAACAGGAUUAGAUACCCUGGUAGUC
rnacentral:rRNA from 1 species